rnacentral:rRNA from 2 species
GGUUAAGCGACUAAGCGUACACGGUGGAUGCCCUGGCAGUCAGAGGCGAUGAAGGACGUGCUAAUCUGCGAUAAGCGCCGGUAAGGUGAUAUGAACCGUUAUAACCGGCGAUCCGAAUGGGGAAACCCAGUGUGAUUCGUCACACUAUCAUUAACUGAAUCCAUAGGUUAAUGAGGCGAACCGGGGGAACUGAAACAUCUAAGUACCCCGAGGAAAAGAAAUCAACCGAGAUUCCCCCAGUAGCGGCGAGCGAACGGGGAGGAGCCCAGAGCCUGAAUCAGCAUGUGUGUUAGUGGAAGCGUCUGGAAAGGCGCGCGAUACAGGGUGACAGCCCCGUACACAAAAGCGCA